GGUGCGGCCCUGGGCGCCUCCUGCUCGGGACGGGAAGGGAUGCACGCUGCUGCCGCGUUCACCCGACGCGCUGCUACCGCGAUUACCAGGGUCCUGCUGGGUGGGUCCUGAACCCUCGGCCAUCGCCCAGCUCCCCCUGCACCGCCGUCUGGCCUGCUGCCUGCCUCUGACCUGCACCUGGGGGUAAGGGUUCAACUGACACGGCCGGCCCGGAGAGGAAGUCACCUCAGAACUUCUUCCUCCAGGGUUGGAAAGGGAGGCUCUGUCCGGAGGCCCAGUGUGGCUGGUGGGGACAGCGGCGCCUGGAGACCAGGCAGGCAGCCUCUGAGGUGUCCACGGGCCUCCAGGGGGCUUUGCACUGUUGGGGGCCAUCCCUGGGUCCCGCAGGGGCAGCCCCUGGUGGCAUGUGCAGUCAGCGCCUGGGCAGAGGCAGCUGUGGGACACAAAGGGGGAGCAGCCCCAGGCCACACGGUCCCAGGAGAGAGAGACACCUGGACAAACCCAGCGUCCGGACUCCCAGCCAGGAGCCCUCCGCUCCCUGGAGCCGACUGUGGGUGGGGAACGGACAACCCCGCUCCCCUGGAGGGCCGAGGAGGGGCCUCAGCCCAGCUGCUGGGGGCCUGGCUUGUCUCCUGCCCAGGCGAGGAGUGCUGCUCCGAGUGGGACUGCGUGUGUGUCCAGCCUGAAUUCCACUGCGGAAACCCUUGCUGCACGACCUGCCAGCACCACCCUUGCCCCUCAGGCCAGGGGGUGCAGCCCCAGGGUAAGUCCUGGAGGUGCCUGUGAGCGUCCACACAGGCCAGGGGGUCCACUAGGGCCCGAGGCAGAGCUCGUGGGCGCAGGAGUCCGGCAUGUGUGGUGUGUGGGGUCCUGGGUCCUGUGAGGCCAGGCAGCCCAGGCCAUGCUCGGGCACCACGGGCCAUGCAACUCCAGGAGUGUCUCGUCCCCCUUUUCUCGGCCUGGGCUUUUCCAUCCAGCACGAGGACUGUGAGAACCCUGCGGGGGGUGGGGAGCUGUCUGGCUCUCAAGCCUGGGACACCCAUCCUGUCUGUCCUCAGCGAAUACCGAGCAAGCCUGCCCUGUGCCCCCCGAGUCCUGUCUGGGCCCCGAGCCUGCCCUGUGCCCCCCGAGUCCUGUCUGGGCCCCGAGCCUGCCCUGUGCCCCCCGAGUCCUGUCUGGGCCCCGAGCCUGCGCUGUGCCCCCCGAGUCCUGUCUGGGCCCCGGGGCUACACCUCCUCCUGGAACGAGCAGCUCAGGUCCUCUUGGCGGCUUGUUUACCUGACGGGAGGGGCCAGGCUGGGCACAUGGGGGCUGUGAGGAGGUAGAACUGGGGAGGUUGUGUGAGGUUGGACAGGGCAGGGUCUGGGGUCAGCUGGGACCCAGCCUCACUCUUUCUGGGACCCUCUGUUCUACUGAGUCCUGCCUGGCCUCUGCCCGCCCUCAGCCCCCAAUGGGCAGGCCCAGUGCACUCUGCGCUCCUCCCCCAGGUGCCCUCCCCAGGUCCCACCCCAGACGCCCCAUCUGGGAUGGGCAGACGCGGGCACUGACAUGCAGGGCCCCAGUCCUGGGCCAUCAAGAACUCUGUUGAAUGGAUGAUGUGGGGGGGCAUUCGACUCAGCAGCCAGACCCCAGAUGGACCCCUGCACUGGCCUGACUCCAUCCUCAUCCAUCCCAGCAACUCCAGCAGCUUCCCUCCCUCCUUCCCUCCCUAAUCCCCCGACCCCGCACCAGGGAAAUUCAGUUUUGGCUUCAGGUGUGUCGACUGUGCCUUGGGGACCUUCUCCAGGGGCCACGACGGCCACUGCAAACCUUGGACAGACUGCACCCAGUUUGGGUUUCUCACCGUGUUCCCUGGAAACAAGACCCACAACGCCGUGUGCGUCCCAGGGUCCCCGCCGGCAGAGCCGCCUGGGUGGCUGACCAUCGUCCUCCUGGCCGUGGCCGCCUGCGUCCUCCUCCUGACCUCGGCCCAGCUUGGACUGCACAUCUGGCAGCUGAGGAGUCAGCCCACGGGGCCCCGAGAGACCCAGCUACUGCUGGAGGUGCCGCCGUCGACCGAAGAUGCCAGCAGCUGCCAGUUCCCUGAGGAGGAGCGGGGCGAGCGGCUGGCAGAGGAGAAGGGGCGGCUGGGAGACCUGUGGGUGUGAGCCUGGCCAUCCUCCUGGGCCACCGACUGCAGCCAGCCCCUCCCUAGGAGCUCCCCGGGCUCCGAAUUCUGCUCUGGGCCGGGCCCGGCUGCCCUGGCAGCAGAAGUGGGUGCAGGAAGGUGGCAGUGAGCAGCGCCCUGGACCAUGCAGGUCGGCGGCCACAACUGGGCCCUGCAAGAGUGAGAGAGAGACACAGCCAUGGCCCCCUUCCUCCCUUACGGCACUGCUGGGGUGGGGUCUUAGGACGGGAGGCUGUGCCCGCGGGUGUGCAGUGCCCAGGACAGGACCCGGCUGCUUGGGGCCUUCAAUAAACACUCGUCCAGUGA